rnacentral:rRNA from 1 species
GACGAACGCUGGCGGCGUGCCUAAUACAUGCAAGUCGAGCGAAGUUUUUCUGGUGCUUGCACUGGAAAAACUUAGCGGCGCACGGGUGAGUAACACGUAAAGAACCUGCCUCAUAGACUGGGACAACUAUUGGAAACGAUAGCUAAUACCGGAUAACAGUAUUUCUCGCAUGAGAGAUAUUUAAAAGUUGGUUAUGCUAACACUAUGAGAUGGCUUUGCGGUGCAUUAGCUAGUUGGUGGGGUAAAGGCCCACCAAGGCGACGAUGCAUAGCCGACCUGAGAGGGUGAUCGGCCACACUGGGACUGAGACACGGCCCAGACUCCUACGGGAGGCAGCAGUAGGGAAUCUUCCGCAAUGGGCGAAAGCCUGACGGAGCAACGCCGCGUGAGUGAAGAAGGAUUUCGGUUCGUAAAGCUCUGUUGUUAGGGAAGAAUGGAUAUGUAGUAACUAUACAUGUAAGAGACGGUACCUAACCAGAAAGCCACGGCUAACUACGUG